AAAUAUAAAAAAGUUUUUUAUAUCUAAGAGUCCUAAAUAUACACCAAAAAAAAGUGGAAUAUCAUUUUUAAAAGAUGAGCGAAUAAAUGAAAAUAUAAAAGAGAAUAAUACAUUUGAUAUAAAAAAGGAGUCAAGUAUAAAUACAUGCAAUGGGAACAUGAAUAACUUAAAUGAUACAAAAGAUAAUAAAAAGAAAUGGUAUAACUCUAAUGAGCAACGAAAAAUUAAUUAUGAAAGAAAAAGUGACAAAUUUAAUAAUUCAUAUAGGAGAGGUAAUGAAAUAAAUAAAAAUGUGAAUGAUAAUAUAAAUAGAACUACCAAGAAGGAAUUAGUUAAAACAGAAAAUGUGGUAGUUGGAAACGAUGAAAAAGAAAUGAAAAAGGAUGAACUAAUAAAAAAGGACAAAAUAGUAAUAAAUAAAAGAAAAUUAAAAGAAGAAAUAAAUGAACUAGUGUUUGUUAAAAAACAUAAAAGGGAAGAUUAUAAUAAAACGAAUGGUUAUGGAUUAGAUUUAUAUGAUGCAUUUAACACUUUUAUUUUAAAUAAUAAUAAAAAUAAUAUGAAUAAGUACAUGAAUAAUGUGAAAAAAAAAUUCUAUUUUUAUUGGAGAGAGUGUGAAUAUCAGCUAAGUAAGUUACAAAAGUGUUAUAUAGAAAAUGAAAAAUUAAUUAGGGAAAUAGUACAUGAAAAUUAUAAUAAUAUUAAUAUUUGUGUUGGUGCUAGUAAUGAGAAUGGUAGUAGUAACGACAAGAGAAAUGACAACAAGGAUAAUAGCGACGCGCUCGUAAGCAACAUAAAAAAAGAAACGGAAGAAAAAACAACAGAUAUAACAAAAUUAGAAAAGAAAAGAAAAAUAAUAAACAACAUAAUGAAUAUUAGACUAACAUAUAGAGUUAUUGAAAUGUAUUUAUUUUGUAUGAGACAACUUUCUGAAUUACUAAAAGAAAAUAGUAAUUACAUUUGUCUAAUGUUUGAUGAAGAAAAUAUAGAAAAGAAAAAUUAUGAACGUGUAAUUGGUAAUUUUCUUCAAUUUAAAGCUACAAAUUAUGAAGAAAUAAAACAAAAUUUAAAAAAAGAAUAUUAUGAUAAAAAUAUGUUACUUAUUAAUAAAGCUUAUUUGGAACAUGAUGAAGAAAAUAACAUUAAGAGUUAUUCUAAAAAUGAAAUUUCUCAUUUAUGUACUUUGCAAUGUUUAGGAGAAGAAAUAAAUGAAAGAAUAAAUGCAAAAGAAGAAUUACAAUCAUUAAUAAUAAAAAAAAAUAAAUAUAAUGAUGAUCUUCAAAAAUAUAAUCAGAAGAAAGAUAUUUCUUUUAAUAAACUAUCAGUAUUUAAAAAAAGUGUUAAAUGUUUUCUUGAUAAUUUUGCAGAAUUAAAUAUACAACAAUGUAAAUAUUUAUUAACUUUUUAUUAUAAAAUGAUAAAUGCUCAAAAUAAAUUGAGUAUAUACCAAAGCCCCGUUUUAAGUAAUGAUGAAACAAUUAAUUUUUUGUAUAAUUAUAAAAACAUGAACGGUUUUAAUAGUAGUAGUAGUAGUAGUACUGCUACUAUUAAUACCGGUGGUAAUAGUAUUAAUACUACUACUGCUAAUAACAGUAGUAAUACUAUUAGUAAUACCGGUGUUAAUGGUAGUAGUAUUUGUAAUUAUAAUAGUAGUCAUGUUUUUAAUUACAUAAAAUAUAAUAUUGUAACAAAAUUUAGAGAAGAUAAUAAAAACGUUACCAGCGAAAAUAAAGACAAUGUACUUAAUGAAUAUAUAUCUAUAAACAUUUAUGAACAUGAUAAAUUUAAUACAUCUAUUAUACCUGAUAUAUCAUAUCUUAAAUAUUUUAAUAUACAAAUAGAUAUUUUUUAUUUAUGUAAAAGUGACUGUUUAGUAGCUAAAACCGUACCUGUUGAAUUCAUUGGAUUGGAUAAAGGACAUAAACUGUUAUCAGAUAUAUAUAAUGAUAAAGAUCAUUUCAUUUUAUUUUCGGAUGAUGUAAAGGAUUUUCAUAAUUUUCAUUAUGGGUUUCCUUUUUUCUGGCUUAAUGCUAUUGCAGAAAAAAUAUAUAAACACAAUGUAACAGAUGGAAAACUAGGAGAAAAUAAGUUAAGUGCAAAGGGAAACGACACUAACAGUCAAUAUAAUAAUAGUAAAAGUAUCAAUAGCAGUAAAAGUAGUAACAACAUUAAAAGUAGCAAUAACAGCAUAAGUAACAGUAACAACAGAAGUAGCAAUAACAACAUAAGUAACAGUAACAGCAAAAGUAGCCAUGGUAACAAAAGUAAUCAUAGCACCAGUAGUAACAACAACAACAGCAAUAUUACUAUAAAUCAGACGCAAAA
rnacentral:lncRNA from 1 species